rnacentral:rRNA from 1 species
GGAGUGGACAGGCUUAGAAAUAGGCUCUCCUUCGGGCCGCUUCCAGGUGCUGCAUGCAAUUCGUCAGCUCGUGCCGUGAGGUGUUAGGUUAAGUCCUGCAACGAGCGCAACCCCUGUCACUAGUUGCUACAUUAAGUUGAGGACUCUAGUGAGAC